UGAAAGACUAUUUUAUUCAGGAAAGUUUUGGGUUGAUGGUUAUUAUUUUUUUAAUGAAAUUAGUAUGUUGUUUUAUUGCAGCCAUUUUAUGUCCAGCACUUUGAGAUUUGUAUCUGUGAAAAGCACUUCAUAAAUAAACUUUACUGACUUAUUCAGAACUC